rnacentral:rRNA from 1 species
GCUCAGGAUGAACGCUGGCGGCGUGCUUAACACAUGCAAGUCGAACGAUGAACCUCACUUGUGGGGGGAUUAGUGGCGAACGGGUGAGUAACACGUGAGUAACCUGCCCUUGACUCUGGGAUAAGCCUGGGAAACCGGGUCUAAUACUGGAUACGACCUUCUGGCGCAUGCCAUGUUGGUGGAAAGCUUUUGUGGUUUUGGAUGGACUCGCGGCCUAUCAGCUUGUUGGUGGGGUAAUGGCCUACCAAGGCGACGACGGGUAGCCGGCCUGAGAGGGUGACCGGCCACACUGGGACUGAGACACGGCCCAGACUCCUACGGGAGGCAGCAGUGGGGAAUAUUGCACAAUGGGCGCAAGCCUGAUGCAGCGACGCCGCGUGAGGGAUGAAGGCCUUCGGGUUGUAAACCUCUUUCAGUAGGGAAGAAGUC